rnacentral:tRNA from 1 species
GGAGGGGUGGCAGAGUGGUCGAAUGCGCAUCCUUGGAAAGGAUGUGUGCUAGAAAUAGCACCACGAGUUCGAAUCUCGUUCCCUCCGCAA